GGUAUAUUCUCGUCAGACUCGCAACGCAAAGCAUACCCGUGCGAGACACCGCUUCAGUCAACGGAUCAGCGCCUAUUCACGGAGCAGAGGCCCGACGAGUGCGCGGUGCAGCUCCUUCCCUCUUUCUUCGCUUCGUGUGAUUGGCUCACCGUCUCCUCUCCACAAACCAGCAUCAGAGUCAAAGGCAAAACGAGUCGAUAGCACGGCAGUCCAAGUGGUCGGGCAGUGCAUGGGCAAAGGUAGAAAAGGGCUGUCAACGCAGCAACGCGCUCUUCGUACCCUGCUGUUGUGCUUCUCUCCUUCUGGGUCUGGUCUGAAUCCGGGGCGUGGCGCGCGAGUGCCCCAUUAUCGCGGCAGUGGUGAGGAGGGGGUGGACUUUGUGCCUCCUUCUCUUUCUUUCCACUGCGCCUGUGUUGCCUUCUCGCUUUGCACCGCUUUUGCCGCUGUUUGAUCGGUCUUGUCCCUCUCGUCAGACCCCCCCCUCCGCGCCUCCGUUACCGUCUCCGCUUCUUCCUCCGUUUUCAUUCGCAUUCGCUUCUUUUUUGCCGCAUCUCCUCCCCACCUCCUUUGGAGCUUCUUUCUUGGCCUUGUGUGUGUGUGUGUGUGUGUGCAUGCGUGUUGCUGCUGUUGUUGUGUUGCUUACAUCGUCUGAGUCUUCUACCGGCGCCUUUGUGUUCUCGUUUUGCUUUCCUUCCUCCCCUCCUUUCCUCUUCCCCGCUGCUCUCUUCCAGUCUGUGUCUCGCGCCACCCUUUAGCGCGACUCCGGUCAGGGAGAUCGACACGCACCACUCGGCAGGGGAAUCCUCACAAACGUUAUAUCGUGCCUUCCUCUCCGCCUUGUGCAUAUCUGUUGUUAUGCGCGUUUCGCUGUUUGCUCUUCCCUAUUCUUUUUUGGCGCUGCGUACCCCUUACGCUUUCGUUUUUUGUUGUUUCCCCCUUCCCCCCUUCCCCCCUCUGCAUCUGUACGUUGGGCUCAACAGUGUUCUCACUCGUUUCCCCUUCAUUGUCUCCCUUCCGCUGUCGCCUGUCGCUCUCCACGCGGCUCGCCUGCGCUAUACAGCGAGCGCCUCUCUCGCGUCUUCGGUUUCUUCCGUUACGUCGAACACACCUUUUGCGGCUGCUGCUUUGUUGGUUCCCGGCGUCCCUCUCCCACCCGCACUCCCCAUCAAUCCUCAGCCUCUUUCGUUGCUGUCUGUGCUUCUCCUCGUCACAUGCGCAGGCGACGAGCACCCUAUCACAUCAUAUAUUUUCUGUUGUUUUUGUUCUUCUUCGUCGCUCCUUUUCUGUUUGGUCGUCCAG
rnacentral:misc_RNA from 1 species